GGAGCAUGUGGUUUAAUUCGAUGCAACGCGAAGANCCUUACCAAGGCUUGACAUGAACUGGAAAUACCUGGAAACAGGUGCCCCGCUUGCGGUCGGUUUACAGGUGGUGCAUGGUUGUCGUCAGCUCGUGUCGUGAGAUGUUGGGUUAAGUCCCGCAACGAGCGCAACCCUCGUUCUAUGUUGCCAGCACGUUAUGGUGGGGACUCAUAGGAGACUGCCGGGGUCAACUCGGAGGAAGGUGAGGACGACGUCAAAUCAUCAUGCCCCUUAUGUCUUGGGCUUCACGCAUGCUACAAUGGCCGGUACAAUGGGUUGCGAUACUGUGAGGUGGAGCUAAUCCCAAAAAGCCGGUCUCAGUUCGGAUUGGGGUCUGCAACUCGACCCCANGAAGUCGGAGUCGC
rnacentral:rRNA from 1 species